UACGUAGGGCGCAAGCGUUGUCCGGAAUUAUUGGGCGUAAAGAGCUCGUAGGCGGCUUGUCACGUCGGGUGUGAAAGCCCGGGGCUUAACCCCGGGUCUGCAUCCGAUACGGGCAGGCUAGAGUGUGGUAGGGGAGAUCGGAAUUCCUGGUGUAGCGGUGAAAUGCGUAGAUAUCUGGAGGAACACCGGUGGCGAAGGCGGCAUCCUGGACCGGUAUUGACACUGAGGCGCGAAAGCCAGGGGAGCAAACGGG
rnacentral:rRNA from 1 species